rnacentral:rRNA from 1 species
AGAACGAACGCUGGCGGCAGGCUUAACACAUGCAAGUCGAACGCUCGUAGCAAUACGGGAGUGGCAGACGGGUGAGUAACGCGUGGGAACAUACCCUCCGGUUCGGAAUAGCUCAGGGAAACUUGGAUUAAUACCGAAUACGGCUGAGAGGCGAAAGAUUUAUCGCCGGAGGAUUGGCCCGCGUUCGAUUAGCUUGUUGGUGAGGUAACGGCUCACCAAGGCGAUGAUCGAUAGCUGGUCUGAGAGGAUGAUCAGCCACAUUGGGACUGAGACACGGCCCAAACUCCUACGGGAGGUAGCAGUGGGAAUAUUGGACAAUGGGCGCAAGCCUGAUCCAGCCAUGCCGCGUGAGUGAUGACGGCCUUAGGGUUGUAAAGCUCUUUCGCUCGGGACGAUAAUGACGGUACCGAGAUAAGAAGCCCGGCUAACUUCGUGCCAGCAGCCGC